UCUCCACUAGAGUCCCGCCCGCUUGUUGUAUUCAACAAAAGACUUGGUGARUAAGAUUAUAUAAAUACAGUGCUAAUCGUGAAACAUUGUUACUUUGGUCAUCCCCGCCACUAGAUUAACCAUCUUCACAAGAUAAACAUGGCACACACAAGAGGUAUGAUCUACGCACUCUCAGUAAUACUAGUUCUAAGUCUCUUAUCACAAACAACGAUGUCAUUUUUCCGAGAGGGACGAGGACUACAAUCAUUUAAACGAACAAGAAUGARUGCUGAAUAUGAACCGCUGAACAGGGAACAACAAGAACCAUUCCGCAAACUUUACAACCAAAUACAUUUGAAAAGGAAAUAUCAUAAUCAAGAACGAGAAUGAAGUCUACGCCAUCAGAUAUUACCAUGGCAACCAAUUGAUCAAUAACAAUAACUAGGAUGUUUUCUAUCACCCUUCAUUGGUCGGCUUGUUUACCAUACGAGCUAUGGCGUCAUAUUUAGUUUAUCAGAAUAAAUAAGAAAAUAAAGUAUUAUUCAUGACAUU